rnacentral:rRNA from 1 species
UACGUAGGGGGCAAGCGUUGUCCGGAAUCACUGGGCGUAAAGCGCGCGCAGGCGGCUAUCUACGUCCGGGGUGAAAGCCCAGAGCUCAACUCUGGGACUGCCUUGGAUACGGGAUCGCUUGAGGAUCGGAGAGGCAAGGGGAAUUCCACGUGUAGCGGUGAAAUGCGUAGAGAUGUGGAGGAACACCUGUGGCGAAGGCAAUCCCCUGGGCCUGCACUGACGCUCAUGCACGAAAGCGUGGGGAGCAAACAGG